UGUAUAUUUUGUAUUUACUCGUGUGUGUAUGUGUGUGUGUGUACACGUGUGCGUGCAUGCACAUGUAUAUAACC
rnacentral:miRNA from 1 species